rnacentral:rRNA from 1 species
GUAGGUGGCAAGCGUUGUCCGGAAUUAUUGGGCGUAAAGCGCGCGCAGGCGGUUCUUUAAGUCUGAUGUGAAAGCCCACGGCUCAACCGUGGAGGGUCAUUGGAAACUGGAGAACUUGAGUACAGAAGAGGAAAGCGGAAUUCCACGUGUAGCGGUGAAAUGCGUAGAGAUGUGGAGGAACACCAGUGGCGAAGGCGGCUUUCUGGUCUGUAACUGACGCUGAGGCGCGAAAGCGUGGGGAGCAAACAGGAUUAGAUACCCUGGUAGUCCACGCCGUAAACGAUGAGUGCUAAGUGUUAGGGGGUUUCCGCCCCCCUUAGUGCUGCAGCUAACGCAUUAAGCAUCCGCCUGGGAGUACGGCCGCAAGGCUG